rnacentral:rRNA from 1 species
CACGCCCUAAACGAUGUCUACUAGUUGUCGGGUCUUAAUUGACUUGGUAACGCAGCUAACGCGUGAAGUAGACCGCCUGGGGAGUACGGUCGCAAGAUUAAAACUCAAAGGAAUUGACGGGGACCCGCACAAGCGGUGGAUGAUGUGGAUUAAUUCGAUGCAACGCGAAAAACCUUACCUACCCUUGACAUGGAUGGAAUCCCGAAGAGAUUUGGGAGUGCUCGAAAGAGAACCAUCACACAGGUGC